GCUCAGGAUGAACGCUGGCGGCGUGCCUAAUACAUGCAAGUCGAACGCUUCACUUCGGUGAAGAGUGGCGAACGGGUGAGUAAUACAUAAGUAACCUGGCAUCUACAGGGGGAUAACUGAUGGAAACGUCAGCUAAGACCGCAUAGGUGUAGAGAUCGCAUGAACUCUAUAUGAAAAGUGCUACGGGACUGGUAGAUGAUGGACUUAUGGCGCAUUAGCUUGUUGGUAGGGUAACGGCCUACCAAGGCGACGAUGCGUAGCCGACCUGAGAGGGUGACCGGCCACACUGGGACUGAGACACGGCCCAGACUCCUACGGGAGGCAGCAGUAGGGAAUUUUCGGCAAUGGGGGAAACCCUGACCGAGCAACGCCGCGUGAAGGAAGAAGUAAUUCGUUAUGUAAACUUCUGUCAUAGAGGAAGAACGGUGGAUAUAGGGAAUGAUAUCCAAGUGACGGUACUCUAUAAGAAAGCCACGGCUAACUACGUGCCAGCAGCCGCGGUAAUACGUAGGUGGCGAGCGUUAUCCGGAAUUAUUGGGCGUAAAGAGGGAGCAGGCGGCACUAAGGGUCUGUGGUGAAAGAUCGAAGCUUAACUUCGGUAAGCCAUGGAAACCGUAGAGCUAGAGUGUGUGAGAGGAUCGUGGAAUUCCAUGUGUAGCGGUGAAAUGCGUAGAUAUAUGGAGGAACACCAGUGGCGAAGGCGACGAUCUGGCGCAUAACUGACGCUCAGUCCCGAAAGCGUGGGGAGCAAAUAGGAUUAGAUACCCUAGUAGUCCACGCCGUAAACGAUGAGUACUAAGUGUUGGGUGUCAAAGCUCAGUGCUGCAGUUAACGCAAUAAGUACUCCGCCUGAGU
rnacentral:rRNA from 1 species